rnacentral:rRNA from 1 species
UCCGAAGGGGGCUAUCGUUGUUCGGAAUCACUGGGCGUAAAGCGCACGUAGGCGGAUUGUUAAGUCAGGGGUGAAAUCCCGAGGCUCAACCUCGGAACUGCCUUUGAUACUGGCGAUCUAGAGUCCGGGAGAGGUGAGUGGAACUGCGAGUGUAGAGGUGAAAUUCGUAGAUAUUCGCAAGAACACCAGUGGCGAAGGCGGCUCACUGGCCCGGAACUGACGCUGAGGUGCAAAAGCGUGGGAGAAAACAGG